UUUGGGCUGGUGUUGGGAUGCAGGCCUGUGUCUGAGGUUCCCAAGCAUCUGAAACCUCAAGUACUACUGUAACAGUAAUAAGCUAUAGGAUAGGCUUUGAAUGAAAUUACAUCUAUUAAAAUUAGUUUUGUAGCCACAAGAUGCUGUCCUUUCCUAUACCUGGCAGUCACUGCAUGUGGAGUGUUUUGUUGUUCCUGUUUAAUUGCUAAGGCUCUCUGUUGGCUCUUGCUGUUAUUUUUAGAAUGUUUACUGAAGAAUAUUCCAAAUGUUGCUGAUAGUGAGGCUCAAGAAGGUGAAUUCCCUGAUAUCUCUCACUAUGAAAAAGAUGUUAGUGGAUCUCCAGUUGAAUCUGUUUACUUCUGCUCGGAUCUGGAAGACUCGGAUGGUGAAGCAUCCAGUAUUCCUGAGGUUGCAACUUUUCCUGAGCUUCAAACUGCUGCUGAGUAUGAGGUGGAGGACUGGGAUAAGGAAUUGGAGGAUUCUGAAUUUAAUCCUUAUGAAAAAUUCAUCCAGAUUAUACAGCCUCUAGAGCAUGGAGUUCUUUGGAGUCCUGGAAGGGUUUGGGGACUCCUAAUUGGGGAUGUGGUUACGGAGACAGCAGGAAGCGGACAAUAAGUGUUGUGGCUUUGUGAGCCUUUUAUACCUGCAGAGAACAUAGAAGAACUGCAUAAAUUGUAAGAGCUGGUGUUGG
rnacentral:lncRNA from 1 species